rnacentral:rRNA from 1 species
UACGUAGGGUGCAAGCGUUGUCCGGAAUUAUUGGGCGUAAAGAGCUCGUAGGCGGUUUAUCGCGUCUGCUGUGAAAACCCGAGGCUCAACCUCGGGCCUGCAGUGGGUACGGGCAGACUAGAGUGCGGUAGGGGAGAUUGGAAUUCCUGGUGUAGCGGUGGAAUGCGCAGAUAUCAGGAGGAACACCAAUGGCGAAGGCAGAUCUCUGGGCCGUAACUGACGCUGAGGAGCGAAAGCAUGGGGAGCGAACAGG